CAUCAACCGGAGCCAUCACAUCGUCAUCAUACUGAAACGAUCUCCCCGAGCUGCUAGCUUCUCCAUCAUCAUCAGGCGUUUCGACAACCCAAUCGUGAAGAGCGGGUUUGGCAUUUACAUUCACUUCCUUACCCCGUCCUACUCCUACUACCUCAUUGGAUAUACCGAGUGUUCCUUUCGUCGGCCUUGUUCUCGUGCCGCUGCUGCGUCGUCCCUUCUUCCUACCCCCACGCGGUUGAGCUCUCGGCCUCAACAUUGGUUCGCCAUUUGAGUUUGCUGCACUUCGCGGUGGUUUACCAGAAGCCGGUGAUGGUUUCUUGCCACGUUGGGAACGAGGCCGGCCACGUCCUCGUGGUGGUCGACCUCUACCUGAACCCGGCUCCGUGUCUUCUUGAGCGUAUGCAACUUGCACCGGAGUAGCCUCGAUGACGUCAUGUUCUUGAACGUUCCUCAGAAAAUUCGUCUCCAAACCCUUAAAAGAAGAAAGUUUUUAAAACUGUAUGAAUAUAUCAUAACAAAAGAAUCAUCAUUCAGUAUUAUAUAUGUAUAAACUUACGACAAAAUCUUCAGAUUCUUUGUCCUUUUGAGGAUCCUUGUUUUGAUCAGGUGUGUAAGCAAUGGAGCUGUCGAGUUCAAAGAGUCUCAAAGCUACACCUCCCGUGGUCUUCGGUAUCCACGGUACUACUUUAACAUCUCUGACAAGAGCUUCUUCUGAUAAGUCCAAGAGUUCACAAGUUGUCUCAAAGUUUGAAGACAGGAAGUCUUUCUUUAGCGCCACCUCUAACAUCGCCAGAACCUGAAACCAAGACGAAGGGAUCAGAACUGUCCGAAAGAUCAAUGCACAAUUUGGGUAAAACAUUGAAAACCUGAUGAAGUUCUUCAGGGGAACUUGAUGACAACAGCUUCAGACCCCAAGUUUUUCUGAGACUCUCUGUCCAAUGAGUUUGAAGUCCUUCAGGGGGAAGAGAAGCCUGUGUCCAUGGUAGAAGAAGUUAGAAGACACAUUAAUAAAACUUAUAGAUGAUCAAAGGAGAAGACUAGAAUAACUCACUUCAACAAGUGCUAACUGAAUCUUGAGUAGUCUUAUCCUGAGAGGAGACAGGUUCGACCCACGUAAUAUAAAUCCAGCGUCUCUUCUGGAUAUUUCACCGAGUUGGUCAGCAAAACACAUCUCACUGACAUCCAAACCACCACUCAUCAUCAUCUGACCACAACCAGGGCAGCAAACAUCCACUGCAAAGUGUAGUUCCGCACAGCUUCUGCAAAUGUGGAAAAGCGGAGUGCUCUUCUUGGCACCGUACUUAAACGCGGAUAACGCACCAGGAUGAACCAUAUUAUCCCACAUCCAUCUCUCAAAACUCUGGAACCGUUGCAACACUCCGCUUCUGCCACCAUCCCCUAGCUCUAUCUUAAACGUUGAGGAGAUCUCCGCUGUAUCAGUAUCCAAGCCGGUACUCGUCUCCACGUUCCUCCUCACUGCUUCUUUAAAAGAAGCUUCCAUCUUUAGCAACAUGAAAUGAAGAUGUGAUUCACGUACACCACGGACGUCUAGUGACUUCACCAAACAGUCAAAACCCUGAAAAAAAGAACCAUCAAACAAAUGUUUCCACAUUUUCAAGAAAAGAGUUUUGUUUUUUUCUUUCAAAUAUUUACUACCUCUUCUGAAUCAAUGAGUCUCCAUCGACCAUCCUGAAGCUCAACGAAUAUCCUACCACAACCAGGAUCGUUCCUAGAGGCGGAUGCUGAAAACCGCCAAUAACGGUUGCGUCUUCGAUCUAGACCGAGCGGAAGUGACCUGUAUACAUACAGCUCUUCAGCUUUAUAUCCAACGUAGGCUUUUAACUCUGCACGGAGCCUUUCUCGGUCCGCUGUGUAACUCUGCUGAUGAUGAUACUGCAAAUUCUCCAUUCCAGACACGUUUUCUUGCAACUGCAAGCUUGGUCCUGCUGCUACAUCGAUCUGUGGAAGACUCAACGGGUCCUGUGACGCUGAUGGGCUUUCUUGAGUCUUCGGUGUUGGGUAUGAGAGGUAAUUCGCACGGAUCAAAGACUCUUCUUUCCAUCGUUUGUCGAGUUGUACUUCACUCCACAUUUGUUUCUUUAACGCACUCGCAACUUCCAAACGUUCCUGCACGCACGCAACACUCAUUAUUAUGGUCAAAGAUUCAAGUGAAUGUAAAGUUUUGAGACUUUUUUUUAGGUUACCUCAAGGGAGAUUCGGAUAGUGUUUCCUUCGAUUGCAAUACCAAUCAGAGCUACAAGUGCGUUUAAACGUUCCUCAAUGCUGAGACUCGAAUAGUCUCCUUCUACGAGUCCUUGCACCCAUUGUUCUCCAAGUUUGCUCACGUCAAAACAGUCACCAUCCUCUUGAUCCGGUAAGAUGUCAUCUAUUUUCUCAUCUUUUGUAGAUUCCUCCGGGAGAGAGGGAGUAAGAGGGUUUGCCUCCGGUUCUGUUUUCAGUUUCCCAUUUUCCAACGAGGGUUCUACACCACCGGUUAACUUUCCUAUCUCCUCCAGAGCAUCAGGAUCUUCCUUUUUGAGGUUCAAAUCAACCUCUGGCUCAUCUCCUACAUCGCUUUCGGAGUCUUCUUCUCUCUCAGCUUCAUCAACAUCUUCCACAUCCGUAACACCGCUCUUGAACAUGCGUAUUCUCUCCCUCGCUUCAGCGAAUAUAGUCUCAGCAUCACCUGCGUCUUUUCUAUAGGAAGGACGCACACAGUACGUGGAAGGAGCCACCCUCUCGAAUAGUUUUGUAUCACGAGACAACGCAGCAGCAACGGAGGCUUCAGGUGUCCUGCUCGUCGUUAGAUCCCUCAAUCCUGAUUUCUAUGAUCCAAAAAUAAGAAAGAAAAAUUUGAGAAUGAAACCAAAGCUGGUGGUUUAAAGUAAGUUUCAAGAAAAAGAGAAAGCAAUCUUUUACCUGAAUCUUCUCUGCAACGUCGAGGAUAGUCAAACCUUUUUCACCCUCAAUAGACAGAACGUGGAAGGCAGCGAAUUUAACUGUGCCUGGAGUCAAACGAUGCCGUGAACGUCGCGGAUUCGAAAGACCCUUUUCUUGCAUCUUGGCAAAAGCAUUCUCGGCUGCUGCUCCUAUCCUUAAGUUGAAUAUCACGUUCUCAGAGUUGUUGGCCUACACUUGAAAGAAAAUAAAGUAAACAGAAGCCACUAAAUACAUUUAAAAAUAGAGAUUUUCUCCCACCUCGUUUUCAUCGUGGACAGACAUGGUUUUAAUGUCUUGUUUCUUUAGUUCCGGUCCAAACCCGGCAGAGAGAGCGAGUUGCCUCAGGAUCUCAGGCCAAGUAAAAACAUUCAAGUUUUUUCUCCAGCUGUUUAUGUCAAAACCCCACGCAUAUGCCUAAACAUCCAAAAUUUGCAGCAUAUAAACAUUAGGAUGAAUACAUUAUUAAAAUCGUUAAAAAGACUUCAAAAUGGGGUAAACUCUUACACCCUCUACGACAUGAGGAUGACCCCCACCGGGAUUAGCUGCAGCGUUCUGGUUUGCUCCGACGCCGACUGAGAGUGUUCUACCAACACCUUCAAUAUCUUUGAUUAUAGUCUUCAAAAGAACAAUGUUUAUCUCUCCCAUGAGUCGUGGGUCCUACAUGACCAAGCAAUCAUGUUACUGAUCUAACGCAGAGACACAAGAAAGAGAGAUUUAACACUUACAUGGUCAUGGAAUGCUUGAGUAAACUCAUCCAGAGUAAAUGGCCAAAGGCCAAGAACAUCCGCGAAAUUGAUUAAGAAUCUCCACACCUAUAUUGUUUUUUUUUUUUAACCAAAUCAAAACAUUGGUUACUGAUAUAGUUAUUAUAUUCACAUAUAAAAAAAACAAUACGGAAAAACUCACCAUAAGAAGAUUAGCAAUAUUCUCAUCAGAACCAUUCCAUGGUUUCACAGCAAAAGGCUUUUUCAAAUUUACAGAUGUUGGUGGAAAUGUCACUUGCUUAUCUGAAAGAAUAUAUAAUCCACAGAUGGAUAUAAGAAAAAAGAAAAUGUUCUCAUAAACGACGGGAAUCUAAAUUGUUAAAAGUUUAAUAAAUUGUUAAUUCACCUCUAUAUGCAUCAAGGUUCUGUAGAGUCUCAAAGUCGAGGGCGACCAUUGAAGGCAAUCCUAGGGAUAACGCAGCAACCUCCAUGAGCUCUAAGCGUUCGUCUUCAAUAAGUUCCAUUGAUUCCUUAGCAAUCUUACGAGCCAUUGCCCUCUCGUUAGCAGCUUUAAGCCUUGCAACCUCUUUCACCCUACGCAUCUCUUCUUUUUGUCGCAUCUUCUCAGCCUGGUCCACAUUUACGAGGUCCAAAUGAGAAAAUAACACUUCACCUAAAAGUUCUGAAGGUACUUAAAGGUGCGCGUCACAAUACCCUGAUUGUUUCUUUCUUCAAGAACUUCUCUCUUCGCUGCAUCUCUUUCAUCUGCUCUUUGAGGUACCUCUCUUCCUCUCUCUGCCUUUCACGUAAAAGCCGUUCUUCCUCUUUCCGUCUUUCACGGUCUUGCCUCUCCAUUUCUUUCCUUACUUGCUCCUCUCUCUACACAACAAACUGACACACUGAGAAAAAAAAACCCAACAUUUAAUGAAGUAUGUGCUUAGCUUAAAUGGAACAAGACCUUUCGUCUCAGCAUAUCUUGUCUCUCAAGCUCUUUUCGGAUUCUCUUCUCAUGAGCCUCCACUUCCCGAGCUAUUCUUGCUUCUUCACUCUGUAAUUGAAAAUAUAUAACGAGAAGAUGAGGGUAGAAGUACCUAGCACUUAACAUUAAAAAGUCAGUCAUAGAUGAUUACCUUGCGUUUUCUCUCCAGUUGCAGGAGAACAUCAUCAUCAUCAUCAUCACCAUCAUCCUCAUCAUCAUCAAUACCAACUUCUCUCUCGGACUUCACAAAAGGAUCCUUGUUUCCAUGUAGAGCAGGAUCCACGUAGCUCUUCUGGUACGGUGAGUCGUAUUCGCCCAAGACGUGCCCUGGUUUGACGUGAUGAGCUGAAAGGUUUAAAUUUGGUAUCUGUGGCGAAACUUUAUAGUCAUCCCGAUGUCCACCAGAGACUGAUGAAGCCCUCAUAACCACCGAAGCAUCAAGUGGAACUCCAUAAUGAUGCGACGCCGGAGAAGCUCUUUCGGAAUGAUCAGUCCUUGAAGAUGGUUGCUCCGGAAGGAACUGAUACUCACGAAUAGUCCUCACAGAUUCCUAAAAUGAUAGAAAUGACCAAAUUAUUAGUUGAGUACGAACAAGAAAACACAUGAGCAACAGAGCGGUUUUGGCAUUUACAUUAACUUCCUUACCCCGACGUCCUCCUCCUCCUACUCCUACUACCUCAUUGGAUAUACCGAGUGUUCCUUUCGUCGGCCUUGUUCUCGUGCCGCUGCUGCGUCGUCCCUUCUUCCUACCCC
rnacentral:lncRNA from 1 species